AUGGCGGGCCGCUCCUUGGGGUUCUUGAGGAGGCAGCUCUGGGCGAGCUUGGCGAUCUCCCGGGCCGCCUUGGAGGAGUACUCGCCGCGGAGCUUGGGGUCCAUGAUCAUGCGGAAGUUGCGGCUGUCCGGCGGGAACUGGACCACCCACUCGAUCAGCUUCUGCUCCCCCUGCGGCCGGUUCCUGUCCAGGGACCGCCGCCCCGUCAGGAGCUCGUACAGCACCACCCCGAAGCCCCACACGUCGCUCUUCGCCGUCAGGUGCCCCUUCUCGAUGUAUUCCGGCGCCGCGUACCCGUGCGUCCCCACAGCCUGA
rnacentral:rRNA from 1 species